CAUCAACAUACGAUUGGAAAAAAAAUACUACUCUACGAUUGAACUACAGAAGGAUAUACUCCUAUAUAGAGAGUAUUUGAAAAUGGUGGAAAAGUCGUUGAACGGACAGAGCAGCAAACUCUAAUUGCGGCAGUGAACUGUAGAGAGAAGGAGAGAGGGGCUGUAGGAACUAGGAAAGCUCGCCCGGUCGCCCGCACGCGCGGCGCUCGGCGCACCGCCCCGCACCUUCGUGAGACGUCACGACGCACGCACGCACGCGGCGGGACCGCGCUUUCUUCCUCGCACCCCCUCGUUCUUCUCCGCCUCCGCCCGCCUAUACAUACCACCAUCUUCCUCUCCUCUCCUCUCUCCCCCUAUCGUUCCACCAUUAACCGCCACUACCACUGCCUCUCUUCCUGAAUCUUGAUCCCACUCCCAUGCCUGCGACUCUACGAGUUCGCUGAGAACUAACUACCACCAGACUCCAUGCGGCAUCGGCAGCAAGGGGAGGACAACAAGGAGCUCUUCGUGCAGUGGAGGCCCUGCGACAAGAAGAGGUCCUAGUCGCCGGCGACCCGCGCCCGCAGGAACAGAUCUGUCUAUCGGGUAAUUCUUUUAAUCGGUGGGUGUUGGCUGAAUGGUUGAUUCGAGCGCGGGAGGGAAGAUGAGCGCGCACGGCGGCGGCGGCGGGAGGACGCGGGUGGGGAGGUACGAGCUGGGGAGGACGCUCGGGGAAGGGACGUUCGCCAAGGUCAAGUUCGCCAGGAACGUCGAGACCGGCGAGAAUGUCGCCAUCAAGAUCCUCGACAAGGACAAGGUCCUCAAGCACAAGAUGAUCGCGCAGAUAAAGCGCGAGAUCUCCACCAUGAAGCUCAUCAGGCACCCCAACGUCAUCCGCAUGUACGAGGUGAUGGCCAGCAGGACAAAGAUAUACAUAGUCAUGGAGCUUGUCACAGGUGGCGAACUUUUCGACAAAAUCGCUUCGCGUGGGAGGCUCAAAGAGGACGACGCCAGGAAAUAUUUCCAGCAGCUCAUCAACGCUGUCGACUACUGUCAUAGCAGAGGCGUCUAUCACCGUGAUCUCAAGCCUGAAAAUCUUCUGCUUGAUGCUAACGGUACUCUCAAGGUGUCUGAUUUUGGACUCAGCGCCCUAUCGCAGCAAGUCAGAGAGGAUGGGCUGUUGCAUACGACUUGUGGAACUCCCAAUUAUGUUGCUCCCGAGGUUAUAAACAACAAAGGUUAUGAUGGAGCCAAGGCUGAUCUGUGGUCAUGUGGGGUGAUUCUCUUUGUCCUCAUGGCAGGCUACCUUCCGUUCGAAGAUUCAAAUCUCAUGGCGCUUUACAAGAAGAUAUACAAAGCAGACUUCAGUUGCCCAUCUUGGUUCUCGACGAGCGCGAAGAAGCUCAUCAAGAAGAUACUAGAUCCUAAUCCUAACACUAGAAUAACUAUUGCUGAGGUUAUUAACAAUGAGUGGUUCAAGAAAGGAUAUCAGCCUCCUAGGUUUGAGACAGCAGAAGUUAAUCUGGAUGACAUUAACUCUAUUUUCAACGAAUCUGGGGACCCAGCACAGCUUGUUGUCGAGAGACGUGAAGAAAGACCGGCAGUGAUGAAUGCAUUCGAGUUGAUCUCUACCUCCCAGGGCCUCAAUCUUGGCACACUUUUUGAGAAGCAAACGGAUUCUGUUAAACGUGAAACACGGUUUGCGUCGAGGCUUCCAGCAAACGAAAUAUUGUCGAAAAUUGAAGCAGCAGCAGGACCCAUGGGCUUCAACGUACAGAAGCGCAACUACAAGCUGAAGUUGCAAGGAGAGAAUCCUGGAAGGAAAGGUCAGCUGGCAAUUGCAACAGAGGUUUUUGAAGUGACACCCUCACUCUACAUGGUGGAGCUCCGCAAAUCGAAUGGCGACACCCUCGAAUUCCACAAGUUUUACCAUAGUAUCUCGAAUGGCCUGAAGGACGUCAUGUGGAAGCCAGAGGGUAGCAUAGCCGAAGGCGAUGAGACCCGCCACCGGAGGCGACAUACGUAUCAUGCUCUACAAAACAUGCAUUUGGUGCACACUCCCUUCCAUAAAUGGCAAUUCUCGAGCAUUGGCCAGGAGUGGCUUUUUAAGGGAACACUCCCAGAUAGCGGCAUUCUCUUGGGGUGUGUUCGGUUUCUGUCACCGACUGGAACGGCACGGAAAUAAAAUUAACGGUAGAAAGUGAAAAGGUAAGAAGUGGAGGCCCUAAGUGUUGGAGUUUUGGAGACUUCUCUUGUGAGGUUUUUGCUGCAACUGAUUUCUCCAUAGUAUGUGAUUUGCCCCUUAACAAGAAAAGUUCUGCUGGUGCUUCAUCUCCUCCCGCGCAAACAAAUGUAGCUACCAUAGAUUGGUUAGGCAGCGAGCAGUUAUCUAAAGUUGGGUCAUCAUCCCAUGUUGCUUCACAUGCUGCUCAGCCUUCUCUUAGUACUAAUGCUGUUGGAGCUGCUAUGGAUUUUUCGCAACCAUCAUGUAGACCAUGGGAACGAGGAGAUUUACUUCAUCGACUGGCCACAUUUAAGCCUUCAACAUGGGCUUCUAAACCAAAGGCUGCUAGUUCACUGGCCUGUGCUCAAAGGGGCUGGGUGAACAUUGGUGUGGACAAAAUUGAAUGCGACUCAUGUGGCGCACAUCUGAUAUUUACUGCAUUGACAUCCUGGUCCCCUGCUGAAGUUGCAAAUGCUGGAGAAGCCUUUGCUGAACAGCUUGAUGCAUCGCACCAGAAUGAUUGUCCCUGGAGAGGGAAUAGCUGUGCUGAUAGCUUGGUACAGCUCCACUUCACACCAUCAGCUCUUCUUGGUGGUUUUAAAGAUCGCUGUGAGGGGCUGUUGCAGUUUAUAUCUCUCCCUGUUAUUGCCUCGUCUGCAAUAGAGAGUAUGAAACUCACUAGGAGUCAGCAGAUUGAACAUGUCUUAUCCCAAUCAAUCGCAAUUCUGUGUGGGGAGCUGGGUUACAAAACAGAUGGUACAACAGGAAUUGAUGUCAAUCAUCAAGACGAAACCUGCAGUUACUCUCAAGCGCAGAAGCUUAUUAGCCUGUGUGGAUGGGAACCUAGAUGGCUUCCGAACGUACAAGACUGGGAAGAAAAUUCAACCCACUCUGCAAAAAAUGCAGCCUCAGCUGAACCAGAUAAAUGCUCCCGCUUUCCUGAGCCUCAGCAAAAUUCAUGCUCUACAUCAGUCAAGAAAGAUAAGGGGAAAGGCAAACUACGUGUAAAAGAUUCUGGAUGCAGCAUGAGAUCACCUUUGCUGGAUUGCAGCUUAUGUGGAGCUACAGUGAGAAUCUGGGAUUUCAGAUCUGUUCCACGUCCUUCUCAUCUUAAUCUCGGCAACAUUGAUGCACCUGAUGCAGGGACGAAACCUAUGUUGGCACGUGGAAUUAGUGCUACGAGUGGGAUCAAUGGAUGGGUUGCUGAAGCAACAGACAGAAAUAAUGCUGAAGGACGUGAUGAGGCAUGCACUGUUGAGGGAAAAUCAUUGUCAAAUGCUCAGGUUGACCUAAAUCUGACAAUGGCAGGAGGAUUGCCACCAACCCAUUCUGGGAUGCUCUCAAUGCCUGAAAAUUUCAAGAAAGAGGGGAUGGGAAUAGAUCUGAUGAUUGGUCAGCCUACCGGGAGUGAGAUUGGUGGCUAUGCAGCCUCAUUUGAAUCUCGUGGCCCCAGUUCGAGGAAGCGUAAUCUGGAGGAAGGUGGGAGUACAGCUGAUAAGCCAAUAAACAGGCUUCAGCCUGCUGACAGUAUAGAAGGAACUGUAAUUGACCGCGACGGUGAUGAAGUUGAUGAUGCUGUACAAAACUCAGAUAUUCGGAACAAAAGGCCUCGUGGCUUUAAUCUUUUUGAUGACAAUCGUCCAUCUUCUUCCGGAGCUGGUCCAAGCAGAAAUUUAAGUCUUGAGCUGGAUAUAGAUGUCAACAGAUUUGAGCCAUCUAAAGAGGGUCCAUCUACCCUUCGCAACUCGUCUGCUAGAGACUCCAUGAGGGCAUCUUCUGUUAUUGCAAUGAAUAUUAUUCACGGUGCGGAGGAAAAUUCAAUGGAGAGUGUUGAAUACCAUCCAUGUGAUGGUGAUGAUGUUGAGAAGCCUUCAAGUGCACUCAGGAGUGGUGGAAUGAGUGACACAUUGGAUCUCAAUUAUAGCAACCAAGCACAGGAAAGCAAUUUUGUACAGCCUGCUGCUGACAGUAAUGCAAGAGAUAUAGGAGGGAGUAGUAUGAAUGGAGGGGAAGAAGUCCUCAAUGCAGAAACAGCUCCUGCUUUUGCUAGGGAUCAACUUAGCGUUGGAGUUAGCGGAGGCAGUGUUGGAAUGGGUGCUAGUCAUGAAGCUGAAAUUCAUGGAGUUGAGGUUUCUGAACAUAAAACUGAGAGUGUUGUCGGAGAUGUGGAACCAGUUCCCGAGCUUACUGAAACCAUGGGGCAUACUGGUGAGUCAGCUCCUGGACCUGGAGUGAUGGAUGAGUUUGUCCCUGAAGAUGCUGGUCGAGAAGAGCCUCAGGCUGAUAGCCACGAUAUGGCAUCUCGGUUAGUGGGUCGAGUUGACAGUGGUUCAACUAAAGCUGAUUCGGUCGAGAGUGGAGAGAAGAUGAGCCAUGCCAGAGGCCAGGAGAGUAACAUACAACAUUCCCUUUCUUGCAAUGCAAGAGUUUAUUCUGGGAUUGAUUUAUCUAAAGAUGAAGUGACUCAGACUGGUAAAAUGCUGACUAAGGACGAGUAUGACCCAGGAAAUGAUCUUGGAGCAACGGAUGGAGAGAAUGAUUAUGAAACGGGUCUUCCAGAAUUUGAUCCAAUUAAGCAUCACAACAACUAUUGUCCAUGGGUAAAUGGAUAUGUUGCCAUUGCUUGCACUAUCAAUACUGGUUCCAGCACAAAUAGUGCAGCAUUUUGUGGCUGGCAGCUUACAGUAGAUGCACUUGAGACUGUCCAGUCUCUUGGCCAGAACCAAUAUCAAGCCAUGAGGUCUGAUUCUGCGGCGUCACUGUAUAAGGAUGACCAUGCGGCACCUAGCCACAAGCUGCUGAAAAGGCCAAAACACAGCAAGUGCUAACUGAAGCGCCGUUGGUAGUGCACAUUCGCUAAACUUGGAUACAGCUCAAAAAUAGUUUGGCUGAUGCAAAUCUGAAGAGAUCUAGUUUGCUAUUUGCAAGACUAGGCUUGGAGCUCGACAUAGCAGAAGAGCUCACAAGGCGCAAGCAGGCGGCAGAAGAGGAAUAAGUUAAGCAUUGUAGAUUAUAGAUGGACUUGUUGCCAAGCUGUUGUUUCUUCUUUUAUUGUGUUUAUAUAUAUAAUAUUGCUAUUCUGGAAGAUUUGGUGAGUCUAAAAUUCUGGAUCUAUCGUCUAUAAGACUAAGAUUUGUGCCAGUGAACAACAUUUGGCUGAGUUAACCGUAAUUUAAAUUGUUGUCUGUUGUCAUUUA